rnacentral:rRNA from 2 species
AAAUUGAAGAGUUUGAUCAUGGCUCAGAUUGAACGCUGGCGGCAGGCCUAACACAUGCAAGUCGAACGGUAACAGGAAGCAGCUUGCUGCUUUGCUGACGAGUGGCGGACGGGUGAGUAAUGUCUGGGAAACUGCCUGAUGGAGGGGGAUAACUACUGGAAACGGUGGCUAAUACCGCAUAACGUCGCAAGACCAAAGAGGGGGACCUUCGGGCCUCUUGCCAUCAGAUGUGCCCAGAUGGGAUUAGCUUGUUGGUGAGGUAACGGCUCACCAAGGCGACGAUCCCUAGCUGGUCUGAGAGGAUGACCAGCCACACUGGAACUGAGACACGGUCCAGACUCCUACGGGAGGCAGCAGUGGGGAAUAUUGCACAAUGGGCGCAAGCCUGAUGCAGCCAUGCCGCGUGU